UACGGAGGGUGCAAGCGUUAUCCGGAUUUACUGGGUUUAAAGGGUGCGUAGGUGGGUCUGUAAGUCAGUGGUGAAAUCUCCGAGCUUAACUCGGAAACUGCCAUUGAUACUAUAGAUCUUGAAUUAUCUGGAGGUAAGCGGAAUAUGUCAUGUAGCGGUGAAAUGCUUAGAUAUGACAUUGAACACCAAUUGCGAAGGCAGCUUACUACGGAUCGAUUGACACUGAGGCACGAAAGCGUGGGGAUCAAACAGG
rnacentral:rRNA from 1 species